rnacentral:lncRNA from 1 species
AAAUAGAAUAAAUUUCUUUGGAGACAGGUAGGCAUUUCGCCCUAUCAUCUGCUCACCAGUGGCAGAGAAGAGGGGCCGCUGAGCCUGCUCCCAAGCUAGUCUGGAAUGUCGUCUGUGCUGAGACUAAAUCAGGAGAUGGUGGCUAGCUGGCCACCCUGAGGGUGGAGCGGAAGCCGCUGCACUGGAAACGACUGGGGAAGCAAGGGGUGUGGAAGCGUUCCCAGUAGCCCAGGAUGAAGAGGUCUCACAGCCAUCUUCAAGGGAGCUCGGCUUCACAGCGCUGCUGGUUGGAUGGAAUCCCCUCCAGCAGUCGGUGGGAUUCAGCAGCAGAAACCUGAGUCAAGCAGGAGCUUCGGAGAUAGCUCCCAAGAUACAGUCAACAAGUCUCCAGAAGAGUUUUUAGAAAGUGAGAGUGAAUCUGUAAGCAAUGAACUGGAAGACGUUGGCAAACCAAGAACUUGAGCUGAAGAACCGCUGGGAAGAGACUAAUACAAACGUUGAAUAUGGGGAUCCUCAAAAGGGGCUUCAAUGACUGCACUUCCUUCAUCUAUUGCUUAAGAUGGACUACAGCAGCUUCGGAAGCAAGAGACCCUGAAACCCUCACAUGCACGGC